rnacentral:rRNA from 1 species
AUUGAACGCUGGCGGCAUGCCUUACACAUGCAAGUCGAACGGCAGCACGGGAGCAAUCCUGGUGGCGAGUGGCGAACGGGUGAGUAAUACAUCGGAACGUGCCCAGUCGUGGGGGAUAACUACUCGAAAGAGUAGCUAAUAACGCAUACGACUUGAGGGUGAAAGCGGGGGAUAGUAAGACCUCGCGCGAUUGGAGCGGCCGAUGUCAUGUUAGCGAGUUGGUGGGGUAAAGGCCUACCAAGGCAACGAUCUGUAGUUGGUCGGAGAGGACGACCAGCCACACCGGGACUGAGACACGGCCCAGACUCCUACGGGAGGCAGCAGUGGGGAAUUUUGGACAAUGGGCGCAAGCCUGAUCCAGCAAUGCCGCGUGCAGGAAGAAGGCCUUCGGGUUGUAAACUGCUUUUGUCAGGGAAGAAAUCCUCUGGGUUAAUACCUCGGGGGGAUGACGGUACCUGAAGAAUAAGCACCGGCUAACUACGUGCCAGCAGCCGCAGUAA